rnacentral:rRNA from 1 species
UACGUAGGGUGCAAGCGUUAAUCGGAAUUACUGGGCGUAAAGCGUGCGCAGGCGGCUUCUCAAGUCAGGGGUGAAAGCCCAGAGCUUAACUCUGGAAUUGCCUUUGAUACUGUUGGGCUUGAGUCCGGAGAGGAUAGUGGAAUUCCCAGUGUAGAGGUGAAAUUCGUAGAUAUUGGGAAGAACACCAGUGGCGAAGGCGGCUAUCUGGACCGGAACUGACGCUGAGGCGCGAAAGCGUGGGGAGCAACAGG